rnacentral:lncRNA from 1 species
UGAAAUCCAAUCUCUACAACUAUGCAAUACACCAACCGCUCUAUUUUCUAACGAACUUCGUACGAACCUGAGUUGUCCAAUUUCUUGGACCAAUCUAUAUCAGAUUGAGUCCAAAACAUGGGGAACAUCAUAAUACGGUGGGAGGAGUCAUUUGGUGGGUUUUGAGUGAAAUCCAAUCUCUACAUCUAUGCAAUACCCCAACCACUCCUUUUCAUAACGAACUUCGUACGAGCCUGAAUUGUCCAAUUUCAUGGACCAAUCGAUAUCGGAUUGAGUCCAAAACUUGGGGAACAUGAUAAUAUGGUGGGAGGAGUCAUUUGGAGGGUUUUGAGUGAAAUCCAAUCUCUAUAACUAUGCAAUACACCAACGACUCCAUUUCAGAAUGAAC